rnacentral:pre_miRNA from 1 species
GAACCUCCGCAGACUGGAGGGCCCCCAGGGCGGGGUGGGCGAGUAUCUGUUUGAGAGACUUACCCUCAAGCAUGACUAGGAGA